AGAUCUUCCCAAUGGGGAAGGACGAGAACCUUCGACCAAGGUUCGAGCGAGCAGCGCGAGCAACGUUGCGCAGCAACGGCCCGCAGGGCGAGCCGCGUAGCGGCGAGUUAUCCUUCCCCCACCACCA
rnacentral:sRNA from 1 species